UACGAAGGUCCCAAGCGUUAUCCGGAUUUAUUGGGUUUAAAGGGUGCGUAGGCGGCUUAUUAAGUCAGUGGUGAAAGCCCCAAGCUUAACUUGGGAACUGCCAUUGAUACUGAUGAGCUUGAGUAGAUUUGAGGCGGGCGGAAUGUGUCGUGUAGCGGUGAAAUGCGUAGAGAUCAGGAAGAACACCCGUGGCGAAGGCGGCUCUCUGGAACGCAACUGACGCUGAGACGCGAAAGCGUGGGGAGCAAACAGG
rnacentral:rRNA from 1 species